UGGGGAAUCUUGCACAAUGGAGGAAACUCUGAUGCAGCGACGCCGCGUGAGCGGAGAAGCCUUUCGGGGUGUAAAGCUCUUACGCCAGGGACGAUAAUGACGGUACCUGGAGAAGCAGCUGCGGCUAACUACGUGCCAGCAGCCGCGGUAAUACGUAGGCAGCAAGCGUUGUUCGGAAUUACUGGGCGUAAAGGGUGCGUAGGCGGCGCUCUAAGUUUGGUGUGAAAUCUCCCGGCUUAACUGGGAGGGUGCACUGAAAACUGGGGCGCUCGAGUAUGGGAGAGGAAAGCGGAAUUCCUGGUGUAGCGGUGAAAUGCGUAGAGAUCAGGAGGAACACCUGCGGUGCAGACGGCUUUCUGGACCAUCACUGUCGCUGAGGCACGAAAGCGUGGGUAGCAAACA
rnacentral:rRNA from 1 species